CGGGUUUGACUGAGCGGCGGACGGGUGAGUAACGCGUGGGCAACCUGCCCCAUACGGGGGAUAACAGUUAGAAAUGACUGCUAAUACCGCAUAAGACCGCGGUGCCGCAUGGCACAGCGGUAAAAACUCCGGUGGUAUGGGAUGGGCCCGCGUCUGAUUAGCUAGUUGGCGGGGUAACGGCCCACCAAGGCGACGAUCAGUAGCCGACCUGAGAGGGCGACCGGCCACAUUGGGACUGAGACACGGCCCAAACUCCUACGGGAGGCAGCAG
rnacentral:rRNA from 1 species